AUGGCUCAGAGUGAACGCUGGCGGCAGGCCUAAUACAUGCAAGUCGAACGGCAGCACAGCAGAGCUUGCUCUGUGGGUGGCGAGUGGCGGACGGGUGAGGAAUACAUGGGAAUCUGCCCAGUCGUGGGGGAUAACGUAGGGAAACUUACGCUAAUACCGCAUGCGCCCUUCGGGGGAAAGCCGGGGACCUUCGGGCCUGGCGCGAUUGGAUGAGCCCAUGUCGGAUUAGCUAGUUGGCGGGGUAAUGGCCCACCAAGGCGACGAUCCGUAGCCGGUCUGAGAGGAUGAUCAGCCACACUGGAACUGAGACACGGUCCAGACUCCUACGGGAGGCAGCAGUAGGGAAUAUUGGACAAUGGGCGCAAGCCUGAUCCAGCCAUGCCGCGUGAGUGAAGAAGGCCCUCGGGUUGUAAAGCUCUUUUGUCCGGAAAGAAAAGCGCCGGGUUAAUACCCUGGUGUCCUGACGGUACCGGAAGAAUAAGCACCGGCUAACUUCGUG
rnacentral:rRNA from 1 species